rnacentral:lncRNA from 1 species
UACAAUAUACGCAUAGACACAGACAUGUACAGUUCUUGAGUGCUACACACAGUUAUGUUUUCAAACUAAUGGCAGUUUCUAUAGCCAGCACCAAUAGAACUUUGUUCAUAGUUUUAUUAUUUUAUUUUUCAAAAAUAAGAAUUUGUCUUUUCAAUUUUUUUUUCUAUAGGCAAGUGUCAAUUGAGGAGGGAGAGAGGAAAGCCAAAGAGCUGAAUGUUAUGUUUAUUGAAACCAGUGCAAAAGCAGGAUACAAUGUAAAGCAGGUAAGUGUUCUUUGAGUAUGAAUGUUCUUAACUAAUGAAAAUGUGAAAUAAUUGUGAAUAAGCUCUUUUUUUAGUGUAAAGGCUUCUUUCAGUUAGCAACAGCAACUAAAAUUCAUGACCUAAAAAUGUAUUUU